rnacentral:lncRNA from 1 species
GCCCCCUUGGACCAGUGUGCCUAGAGCUGGAAGGUACUGGGCCACACGUAGACAGUCCUCUCUCUGACCCACUUCAGGCCAAGCAGAGACACAACAUCACACUACUGUGGGACCGCGAGGUGGCAGACGUGUUGGUUGAUGGCUACAACGUCCACUAUGGUGCCCGCUCCAUUAAGCAUGAGGUGAGCACAGAAACCUGAGACAAACAUGGAACCUGUAUACCUUCCUCCCUGUGCCCAUAGACCUAACUUUCAGGCUCAGCCAGUCUCCCUGUAGUUUAGCUGCUAGAAUUAAUCCAUACCAACAGAAGUCCUUUCAGAACUA